AAGAUUUAGUGGCGAACGGGUGAGGAUCACGUGAGAAACGUGCCCCAGACUCUGGGAUAACUGCGGGAAACUGUAGCUAAUACCGGAUACGACACCUUGGGGCAUCCCAGGGUGUGGAAAGAAUUUCGGUCAAGGAUGAGCUCGCGGCCUAUCAGCUAGUUGGUGAGGUAAUGGCUCACCAAGGCGACGACGGGUAGCCGGCCUGAGAGGGUGACCGGCCACACUGGAACUGAGAUACGGUCCAGACUCC
rnacentral:rRNA from 1 species